AUUGAACGCUGGCGGCAGGCCUAACACAUGCAAGUCGAGCGAGCGGCGGACGGGUGAGUAAUGUAUGGGGACUGCCCGAUAGAGGGGGAUAACUACUGGAAACGGUGGCUAAUACCGCAUACUAUCGGAUAACCCAUAUGGGAUUAGCUAGUAGGUGGGGUAAAGGCUCACCUAGGCGACGAUCUCUAGCUGGUCUGAGAGGAUGAUCAGCCACCCUGGGAGUGAGACACGGCCCAGACGCCUACGGAGGCAGCAGUGGGGAAUAUUGCAAAAGGGGCGCAAGCCUGAUGCAGCCAUGCCGCGUGUAUGAAGAAGGCCUGAGGGUUGUAAAGUACGUUUAGCGGGUGGGCGUUUCCCGCAGAAGAAGCACCGGCUAACUCCGUGCCAGCGGCCGCGGUGAUUC
rnacentral:rRNA from 1 species